rnacentral:sRNA from 1 species
GGAUGAGAGGCCAACCUGGCUUUGACAUGUCUCACCCCAUUGGUUUUCAGGGUUGAUUUGGCAGCUAGCNAGGUGGGUGUUCCCUUCCUCCCUUAAUGCUCUACUUGCAUUCCUCCUGAGAUUGCAUGCUCAGUAGAAGAGGAUAACCAUCCCAGAUAGAAGGAAUGUACCAUUCUUCUGCUAUGGAUAGGUGAUAGCUGUGCUCCCAAAGGACUGGAUAAAAAGAUAUUGCAAGAAGCACUGAAUAAUGAUGU